GUCUAGGCCAUGCCACCCUGAACAAGCCCAAUGUCUAAUCUUGGAAGCUAAGCAGGGGUGGGCCUGAUUAGUACUUGGAUGAGACACCACCUAGGAAGACCAAGUGCUGUAGGCA
rnacentral:rRNA from 1 species